UCUUAAUUGUUAGUUAUAGUGCGUCAAGCAAAUCUUGUCAGUAGCAAUGUAAAGCAAACUAAAGUAGGGCAACACUCAAAGAGUAGUAUUGCGCUAAGAAAAGCAGCAAUGUACAAUGUACAUCGAACCAACUUUUUUUUUCCGCUGAGCGCGCCCGUCAAUUCAAAUUGUCACUCGCGGAUUCUCUAUUGAAAAUGUUUGAAAUUGUUAUUAAUAGGUAUGGACGGACAAUUUAAAAGCGGUGUGUGAUGUUGAUAAAAAUGAUUAACUAAUUUGAAGAUCUCAAAAUAAAAUUAGAAGUGGACUAUGCCGUCACAAAUAAAAUCAUUGCUUCAGCAGGUAGAUGUCCUACUGGAUUUUAAUAUUUUAUUAGAUUUCUCAGUUGGCACUGUAGGCAUCUUAGCGUUGAUUAAGCACAAUCUUAUUUAAUAUAUUGGUAUUUAAUGGUGACACAGCAGAAAUAUCUCUUGAAUUAAAAUCGAUUCAGAAUGUAAACAAAGAUGAUGGCUGUCAUUCGCGAUCCACAUUCCACAGAUAAAACACAGAUGACACGCGAUUUUCGAAUUAUUCGAACACAGUGUUGCUAACCCGCGAUUUUUCAAAUUUGCCGCCGUUUGCUACUGACAAGAUUUGCUUGACCCAGUAUAAC